UACGGGGGGGGCAAGCGUUGUUCGGAAUUACUGGGCGUAAAGGGCUCGUAGGCGGCCAACUAAGUCGGAUGUGAAAUCCCCAGGCUUAACCUGGGAACUGCAUCCGAUACUGGAUGGCUUGAAUCCGGGAGAGGGAUGCAGAAUUCCAGGUGUAGCGGUGAAAUGCGCAGAUAUCAGGAGGAACACCAAUGGCGAAGGCAGCACUCUGGGACGUGACUGACGCUGAGACGCGAAAGCGUGGGGAGCAAACAGG
rnacentral:rRNA from 1 species